AUUGAACGCUGUCGGCAGGCCUAACACAUGCAAGUCGAACGAGUGGCGGACUGGUUAGUACUGUCUGGGAAACUGCCUGAUGUAGGGGGAUAACUACUGUAAACGGUAGCUAAUACCGCAUACCAUCGGAUGUUCCCAGAUGGGAUUAGCUAGUAGGUGGGGUAAAGGCUCACCUAGGCGACGAUCCCUCGCCGGUCUGAGAGGAUGACCAGCAACACUGGAACUGAGACACGGUCCAGACUCCUACGGGAGGCAGCAGUGGGGAAUAUUGCACAAUGGGCGCAAGCCUGAUGCAGCCAUGCCGCGUGUAUGAAGAAGGCAUUCGGGUUGUAAAGUACUUUCAGCGAGGAGGCGUUACCCGCAGAAGAAGCACCGGCUAACUCCGUGCCAGCAGCCGCGGUAAUUC
rnacentral:rRNA from 1 species